GACGUAGGGCGCGAGCGUUGUCCGGAUUUAUUGGGCGUAAAGAGCUCGUAGGCGGUUUGUCGCGUCUGCUGUGAAAACUCGGGGCUUAACCCCGGGCCUGCAGUGGGUACGGGCAGACUAGAGUGCGGUAGGGGAGACUGGAAUUCCUGGUGUAGCGGUGAAAUGCGCAGAUAUCAGGAGGAACACCGGUGGCGAAGGCGGGUCUCUGGGCCGUAACUGACGCUGAGGAGCGAAAGCAUGGGGAGCGAACAGG
rnacentral:rRNA from 1 species